rnacentral:rRNA from 1 species
CAACGCCGGGAAGCUCACCGGAUAAGACAGCGGAAUGAUAGCCGGGCUGAAGACUCUGCUUGACUAGCUGAGAGGAGGUGCAUGGCCGUCGUCAGUUCGUACUGUGAAGCAUCCUGUUAAGUCAGGCAACGAGCGAGACCCACGCCAACAGUUGCCAGCAUGUCCUCCGGGAUGGUGGGGACACUGUUGGGACCGCCUCUGCUAAAGAGGAGGAAGGAAUGGGCAACGGUAGGUCAGCAUGCCCCGAAUUAUCCGGGCUACACGCGGGCUACAAUGGUCAGGACAAUGGGCAUCAACACCGAAAGGUGAAGGCAAUCUCUUAAACCUGUCCUUAGUUCGGAUUGUGGGCUGCAACUCGCCCACAUGAAGCUGGAAUCCGUAGUAAUCGCGUUUCAACAGAACGCGGUGAAUACGUCCCUGCUCCUU